rnacentral:rRNA from 1 species
AGAGUUUGAUCCUGGCUCAGGAUGAACGCUGGCGGCGUGCUUAACACAUGCAAGUCGAACGGUGAAGCCUGCUAUUUAUAGUGGGUGGAUCAGUGGCGGACUGGUGAGUAACACGUAGGUGACCUGCCCCAAAGAGGAGAAUAACUUGACGAAAGUGAAGCUAAUACUCCAUGUGGUCAAUCAUUCGGUUGAUUGAUUAAAGCUAAGGCGCUUUGGGAGGGGCUUGCGGCCCAUCAGCUAGUUGGUAGGGUAAAGGCCUACCAAGGCGAAGACGGGUAGCUGGUCUGAGAGGACGAUCAGCCACAAUGGCACUGAAACACGGGCCAUACUCCUACGGGAGGCAGCAGUGAGGAAUAUUGCACAAUCGACGCAAGUCGGAUGCAGCAACGCCGCGUGGACGAUGAAGGCCUUCGGGUUGUAAAGUCCUUUUAAGAGGGACGAGGAAGGACGGUACCUCUUGAAUAAGUCUCGGCUAACUACGUGCCAGCAGCCGCGGUAACACGUAGGAGGCGAGCGUUAUCCGGAUUUAUUGGGCGUAAAGCGCAUGCAGGUGGCUAGGUAAGGCGGGUGUGAAAGCCCCGGACUUAAUCCGGGGAGGUCAUUCGAUACUGCUGGCUAGAGCGAG